AACGAACGCUGGCGGCAUGCCUAACACAUGCAAGUCGAACGAGACCUUCGGGUCUAGUGGCGCACGGGUGCGUAACGCGUGGGAACCUGCCCUUAGGUUCGGAAUAACUCCCCGAAAGGGGUGCUAAUACCGGAUAAUGUCUUCGGACCAAAGAUUUAUCGCCUUUGGAUGGGCCCGCGUUGGAUUAGCUAGUUGGUAAGGUAAAAGCCUACCAAGGCGACGAUCCAUAGCUGGUCUGAGAGGAUGAUCAGCCACACUGGGACUGGGACACGGCCCAGACUCCUACGGGAGGCAGCAGUGGGGAAUAUUGGACAAUGGGCGAAAGCCUGAUCCAGCAAUGCCGCGUGAGUGAUGAAGGCCUUAGGGUUGUAAAGCUCUUUUACCCGGGAUGAUAAUGACAGUACCGGGAGAAUAAGCUCCGGCUAACUCCGUG
rnacentral:rRNA from 1 species